rnacentral:ncRNA from 1 species
GAGAAUGCGCUGAUGAGAACAAGUACUUCGCAAGAGCCUGGCCUAGAGAGUCGGUGGUGGGUGCAAACCGAUCCGGCGUGCGAAGGAAUCCAUCUCGGAGUGGCAAAGGAUAAACUUUGUCCGGCACCGUCCCGUUAUGACGGAAGAGUGGACAGAUGCGAGUAGUACGGUGCAUUUGUCAACGAGGGUGGCAACGCGGGUAUACAACACUCGUCCCUUAC